CACGCAGGUAGUGAUGUGUAGGU
rnacentral:miRNA from 1 species